rnacentral:rRNA from 1 species
ACCCUACGGGACGCAGCAGUGAGGAAUAUUGGUCAAUGGUCGGGAGACUGAACCAGCCAAGCCGCGUGAGGGAGGAAGGUACAGAGUAUCGUAAACCUCUUUUGUCAGGGAACAAAGGCGGGGACGUGUCCCCGGAUGAGUGUACCUGAAGAAGAAGCAUCGGCUAACUCCGUGCCAGCAGCCGCGGUAAUACGGAGGAUGCGAGCGUUAUCCGGAUUUAUUGGGUUUAAAGGGUGCGCAGGCGGUCUGUUAAGUCAGCGGUCAAAGACCGGGGCGCAACCCCGGCCCACCGGUGAAAAUGGCAG